UGAGUGCUGGUCUGAACACAAUUCAGCACCCAUAUUUUGGGGUAUUCGACAUGCUUUCCAUGCCACCAGCGACCACGACAUCGUUGAUUCCCAGCUGAAUACUUUGAGCCGCAACAUGACAGCCUUCAUACCCGAGGAGAAAACUUUGUUGACGGUGGUACAUGGCACGGAGUUGGGCAAGCCGGCGCCAAGGGCUGCCUGCCCUGCCGGAGCUUGGCCGAGGUUGACGUUAAGGAUGUUGUCCACGAAAACCUCCUGCACGAGCGCCGGGUCGACCAAGAUUGUCGGGGAUGGGGCGGGAGAGGUUGUGGUCGCCGAGCUGGAGAUGAAACGCGCAGAGAAGAAGCCUCGGAACCGGGCACGGCGGCUGGACGCAGGGCGAGCCAUGGAGAUGGGCGCCGAGCUCCAUGGAUGCAGGGAGGAGGGAGGAGCUCGCUGGCUGGCUGGGGAUGGAGGAGGAGAAAUCCACGCGCGCCAUAGAAGGGCUUCGACAGGGCGUAGGGAGAGAGAGGAGCAGAGGCUGGGGGAGCACGACGCUGGGCACUUGAAGUCGCGUCGUUGGGGAGGGAGACAUCGGAGGGGAGGGAGAAGAUAAGCACACGGCGAGGAGAUGAGGCCAACGGCCGUAGGCGGUGAGAACAAAAAAAAUCAGACUUGAACGGCGGCAGAAAAAAUCGGAGUACGGCUGGGCGCUGUGGAGAAGAUAGGGAUGCGCUCGGCGAUGGAAAAAUCGAGCAGAGCCAAGGCGGCUGGACGAAGAUUUGGCGCGUAGAAGACGAGCUACAGGAGGGAGAUGGCAACGGCUGUAGAGGAGUGGCUGGG
rnacentral:misc_RNA from 1 species